rnacentral:rRNA from 1 species
CGGGUGAGUAAUGUAUGGGGAUCCGCCCGAUAGAGGGGGAUAACUACUGGAAACGGUGGCUAAUACCGCAUAAUGUCUACGGACCAAAGCAGGGGCUCCUCGGACCUUGCACUAUCGGAUGAACCCAUAUGGGAUUAGCUAGUAGGUGGGGUAAAGGCUCACCUAGGCGACGAUCUCUAGCUGGUCUGAGAGGAUGAUCAGCCACACUGGGACUGAGACACGGCCCAG